rnacentral:lncRNA from 1 species
AUGACUGAUGAUAAUGUUUGAUAAUUUAUCCAUGACCUGCCAUUUAGUCGGGACUCAUGAUAGAGGGACUGAAUCACACAUUAACAUACCUAGUGGUUCAUUUUAGUUCUACUGGAUUGCCACUACAUACUGCUUGAUGUCACUGAUAAAUUGUGAGAGCUCACUAGGAUUGUUCUAGAUCGACAAUUCUUGCUGAGUUAGAGUGAAAUUAUUCUGAUCUAUUAAAAAAGAUUUCAAUGAUAUAAUGAUAGAGAUCAUUGUAUGUCUCACUACCAA